rnacentral:misc_RNA from 1 species
AAAGUCGUAACAAGGUAACCGUAGGUGAACCUGCGGUUGGAUCAUUACCAAUUUUUUUGUAUUCCUUUUCUCUCCACACUACCUCUCUUCUCUUUGAGUUUGGGUGUGCGAGGAAAAGAAAUAUAUAAACACACUGUGAACUUGUAAUCGUUUUUUUGGUGGUUCCUUGAGGAGGGAAAAGGGUUUAGUAGAGUAUUGUCUCUCUUCUCACUUUUUUCUCCUUGCACCAAGUAGGGUGCGGUCCACCAAAAGGAAACCUUCCCCCCUCAUUCAGAGGGUGCUGGUUUCUAUUCAAACCCAACUACUCUAGUCUUUUUUUAUUUUAAAGUCUUUUUUUAUUCAAAGCCAAUUGAGAAACAACUUUUAACAACGGAUCUCUUGGCUCUC